rnacentral:lncRNA from 1 species
GAGGUUCCCAGGCUAGGGGUCGAAUCAGAGCUACAGCUGCUGGCCUACACCACAGCCACAGCAACUCGGGAUCCAAGCCACAUCUGCAACCUACACCACAGCUCAUGGCAACGGCAGAUCCUUAACCCACUGAAUGAGGCCAGGGACUGAAUCCUCAUCCUCAUGGUUCCUAGUCGGGUUCGUUAACCACUCAGCCAUGAAGGGAAUGCCUGUAUGCUUUUAAAAUUGAAAUAUAGUUGACAUCCAAUAUUAUGUUAGUUUCAGAUGUACUAUAUAAUGAUUUGACACUAACGAUAAUAAGGCUUGGAAUAAGUUUAUUGUACUCACAGAUCCCAGAAAGAGUCACUGUAGGCCAUGCAGGGUCACAAGGCAAAACACCAGGUGGUCGGUGAGCCAAAAGGCUUAAGCAGGGCCUUUAUUGGGUUUCCAGGGAAACGUGAGACAAGGCAGAGUAAACAAUUUAGAAUCGGCUACAUGAAUAAUUAAGGUGGGCUUUGGGCUAUAGGGGUGGUCUCUAGUCUCCUGGUACCUGGCGCUGGGAUGACUCGGGACAGGGGAAAUAUCGGUGGGUGUGUGAAAGUUAGAUAAGAAGGUGGUUGGACAGGACAAACUUGGAAUUUGUUCAUUUGCAUACGAAAAGCAUUCUCUAGGAAAGUUAGUAUUAUCUUCAGGUGUUAGCUGGCCCUGGUAGGGGCAGUCUCUCCCGAGCCAGAAAGGUUUUUUGAGAUGUUAAAACAUGUUAUACAGAAAACUAAAAAUACACGCAUUAACAAUACCUUCUACGGCACACUAAAGGUUAAAAACCAUUCCUCAGAGGCAGAAGUUGUAAACCCUAGCUUCACACUAAAACCAUCUGGGGAGUUUUCAGCAAACAUCAGUACCAGUGCCCAGCCCCAGACUGAUUAAAUCAGAAUGUGAACAAACACAUUGGAAAGUGAUCCUCAUGUGCCAUCAAGGUUCAUAACCGAGGCUCUGAAGAAAGGUAAGCGAGGUGGAUAAAGAACUACGGAUCUAAUUGAGUUUUUCUCCAGCCCUGACUGAUGGGGGAGGCAGAGAGAUAUCUUGGCAUCAACUGACAGACCCUAAUUUGUCUCAGGUGGUUGUGAGGGAUUGUUUGGUUUGGUGUUUUUUAAUGAUUGUCACAUGAUCCUAGUGUACAGCCAGGCUAGAAAAGCACUGGUCAAAUCUAACCAUCGUUUUAUAGAUGAGAAGUAUAAGGCUUGGAAGUAAAGUGGUUUAUUUAAAUUUACAACAAAUUCCUCAAGGGUGUCAAGAUUAGAGCUCCCAACUCCUAAUUUCUAACCCAAUGCUCUUUUCCUGUAAGUACAGCUUAUUGUAGUCAGUGUGCACAUAGCUUGGCAUCCACCUGCAACUGAAUUUCAUUUCCCCAAUGUUCUUAAGGUCUCUAAGAAAGUUGGCUUGUCUCUUCCAAGGACCCAGGCACACUGAGCAAGAAAUGUUAAAGGCAAAUGAUAUGACCUAUGCAUUUUCAAGGAUUAAAUAUGAAUUUGGCAGGAUAUAUUUUCCAAAAUAUCCUCCAUCCUACAUAUUCUUUUAUAAGGUGAAAGGUCAUGCCCCAUCAAAAAGAUGGCAUCUAACUAUUCUCCCAUGAAAUCUGGGCUGGACUUGGUGACUUGUUUGACCAAUAGGCUGUGUUAUAAAUAACAUUCUUGAAUUCCCAAGCCUAGUUCUUAAAAAGCCUUAGAGCCUCUGCUUGGUUGGACCUCAUGAAAUAUUCUGUCUUGAGACACCUCCCUCUUGAAUCCCAGCCACCUUGCAGAGGGAAGCCCAAGCUACAUAGAGAGGCUAUGUGUAGGCACGCUAGUGCACAACCCUAGCUGAGCUCCCAGCUAACAACAAGCAUCAGUGUCCUCAACCACUAGAAGGUGUCUUAAGAUGACCAAAGCCUCAGUGACAUCUGGCUGCAACUUGCAUCAAAGACCCCAAACAAAAACUACCCAGCUCAGCCCAGUCCAUCUACAGAACAAAGAGAUUACAAUACCUAGCUUUUGAAGUGGUUUGUUGAGCAGCAAUAAAUAUCUAGAACAACAAAAUAUAAGAUAGUAACUCCAAGAGGAAAAAGGAUGGUACCGGUGAGUUAACAGUUUAUAAAAGUUAAUUGAGAGGGUGCAGGGGAGAGGAGGGGCAGGGAAGAUCAGAAGCACAAAGAAAGAAAAGAAAAAUAUUUAAGAAAUGUCACCACUGGAGUGGUCCAUGAGACAUGCUCUUCACACAUUCCUAGUAAAUUUUAGAAGUAACAAAAAUACAUGAAUUUAGUCUUCACGUUGUUGUUGCUGAUAGCAAAUUGUCUGAAAUUACUAUAAUACCACAAAAUAAGGACUAAGGAAAUGUUAAGAAUGAGGUUGAAAAAAAAUAUCUUAUAAGCAAAAUUAUAAGUAGACAAAUGAAUAUUUUUAUUCCUAACAAGCUCUACUUGUUUGGGAAUCUUGGAUGUGGAUCUUUAUUGUGAUGACAAAUAUUGCAUCAGAAAAUCAGUGAGGACCAUACAGCCCCUUUGGCAAUGAUUUCUGGAGGAUGGUUUUCGAGGUGGACAGGUAAACAAGCACAUUUCCACAUGUCCAGAUCAGAAACUCAAGCUGUGACCCUUCCGUGUCAUAUUUAGUAUUUUUUCAGCAAAAAUAAUGAUUCAGGAAUUGGAUUUGGAUGACAAUUGCUUUUGAAUCAAAAGACACAAAAAAGAAUACUGCACAGUUUAUUCUUGUCCCAAUUUUUAUCACAAUACACUGAUUCUGCAAUAAUUUUUACCAUCAAAAUAUAUUUUUAGUGACCUUAGAGCUGACCUGCAGGCCACAUGGAGCACAAGUGAAUCUUGUUUCAAGGCACCAUUUUGUGAUCAGAUUUCCUUCUUUCAAUUUUAGAAUUAAUCACCUUUGCUAGUCUCUGGCUGUUGAGUUUAGGUGCUUAAAGUUUAGUCAUAAUGAAACUAAGGUCAGAUGUUGGUUCUCUGGCUAUACUUGUUACCUUGCUCUCUUUAAAAACUGCACUUGAAGGAGUUCCCACUGUGGCAGAGCAGAAACAAAUCCACCUAGUAUCCAUGAGUAUGUGGGUUCGACCCUGGGACUCGCUCAGUGGGUUAAGGAUCAGUGUAGAUUAAGACACAGCUUGGAUACCGAGUUGCUGUAGCUGUGGUGUAGGCCAGCAUCUGUAGCUCUGAUUUGAUCCCUAGCCUGGGAACUUCCAUAUGCCACAGGUGCAGCUCUAAAAAAGAAAAAAAAAAAGAAACGAAACCUGCACUUGAGUUACCUUGCAGGCAUUUCCCAUUUAUCAAGAGAGGAAAAUAGAGAAGACCGUGAAUCAGGCCCUUUCCACUACUAAGAAAUAACUCAAAACAUUGGCCCAGGUAUAACAAUUACUUAGCACCCAUACUGCCACUCUCCCUCCUAUACCUGUGUUAGGAAUCACUAAUCGAUUACGACUUUCCUUUGCUCUGAGUUAAGGCACAGCCUCAGAAUUCUUCCCAACCCAAUGGCCCAGACUACUACUACUCAGUCAGGGGAAAACUUCAGUUUCCAUCUUUCCACCCCGGCCCCCACAAAGGUUCAAUAACUUGUUUGAGGUCAGAUAGCAUCCAACUGGCAUUUCUGGGAUUUGAAGCCAGGCAUGCUUGGUUCUGUAUUGUUUGCCAUUUUGGUGGUGCACCAUGAAAAUUAUCUCUAUAUUACCAGAUUCAUCUUCAUUACUGGCUUUCUAAAUUCAGUAAGCAGAAGUAACUGAGAACCCCCCUACGAACUCUAUAUUGUGAGGCUAUGUACUUUAUAGAAAGUAUUUUUUAUCUUGCCCAAUAAAUAAUUUUCCCUAAAAAAACUGCAAAUACUCAUGGUUUCGUAUAUUGUGUGACCUGGAUCCUAUGGUGGUAGUUAAGACUGAUGAUGUCAACCUCUGUGACAUCAAACUAUUACUGCACCAUCGACCAGUUAAAGAAUUGCAUAUGAGCUGAUCACAAUCCUGCAACUCUGUCUCACCCAGCCUUUAAACACCCUUCCCUGAAAUCCAUCAGUGAGUUCAGGCCUUUGAGCAUUAGCCUCCCAUACUCCUUGCUUGUGCUUGUAAUAAUGCUGUGCUUCCCUUCACCUCAACCUGCUGUCAAUAGUUUAGCUUUACUAUGUACAGGAAAACAGAUGCAAGUUUAGUAACAUGAAGACUUAAGCUAAGUAGCAUCCUGUACAUAUUUAAAAGUUUUUCCCAGCAGGUCAUUCUGACUCAUUCCCUCUCUUUUAUAUGAAAUUAAAGCUAUUCAUCUAAAAAAAAGUUAAGGUCACUUCUCAUAAUAAGCAUCAAAAGGACCCCUGAUUGGUUUUUUGUUUUUGUUUUUUGUUUGUUUGUUGUCUUUUUAGGGCUGCACCUGAAGCAUAUGGAGGUUCCCAGGCUAGGGGUCAAAUAAGAGCGGCAUCUGCUGGCCUAUGCCACAGCCACAGCAAUGCCAGAUCCAAGCCGUGUCUGUGACCUACACCACAGCUCAUGGCAAAGCCGAAUCCUUAACCCAUUGACCAAGGCCAGGGAUCGAACCUGGGUCCUCAUGAAUGCUAGUCAGAUUCAUUUCUGCUGAGCCAUGAUGGGAACUCCCGGAUCCCUGAUUCUUAUAAAAGAUUCUUGUAAUAUAUUUCAACUCAUGAAAAGGGGGUCACUAGUGAAUUUCUUAAUACAUUAAAAAACAAUAAUGAGUGUUAUUUCUUAGGUACCUCCAGGAAUUGGCAUUGAACCAUUUAAAACUUCCAAGGCAAUAGUCAAGGAUGCUUUCUCUUGUCACACAGAAGCCAUUCAGAGGACUUCACAAAUCCAGCACUAGUGUUAGCCAUAACCCUGGUACAGUGAACAAAUAUUUUCCACAUGGAUCUGGGCAAAUAAAUCAAUGCAGGGCAGGACAUAGCAAAUACUUUUUCAGCUAAUAUUUUCAAGGUAACUUUCUAAUCAUUGUGAAGUAUAUGCAGUAUUAAUGUGAAUCUUUCCCUAUGGAUGUUUGUAACAAAUUUGAAGGAACUAGGCCUUGAAUUAAACAGUACUCUAACACAGCAUGGUAUUAAAUAAAUGAUUGGUACAAGCCAAAAAGCCUCAAUUACUUUCCACAAAGGAGUGAAUUUUCACUUUCCCAAAAUCUCAAGAGAAGCCGAGAUUGAUGAAAAGAACUCUCGUACUGGAAACCUAAAAGACUGACCUGUUUUCACAUCCAGAAUCUGUUGUUUUCUAUAUAUGUAGACUCAGGUAAGUGUCAGGUCACUGGAUAUCGCUAAGCGUCAGUUCUCCCAUCUGUACAAUAGGGAUAAUAAUACUAAUAGCCACUUCAUAGGACUGCUAUGAAAAUUAAGUGAGAUAAUGUAUAGAAAGAGAUGUAGGGACUCUAUAAAUGCUACCUCAUCAUCAUCACUGUGCUGCCAGGUGCUCCAGCAAACUGCAGAAGCUGAGAUGGGGGGUCAGGGAGGAUGGUAUCCUUAC